CAGCAGCCGCGGUAAUACGUAGGGUGCGAGCGUUAAUCGGAAUUACUGGGCGUAAAGCGUGCGCAGGCGGUUGUGUAAGACAGGUGUGAAAUCCCCGGGCUCAACCUGGGAAUGGCGCUUGUGACUGCAAAGCUAGAGUAUGGCAGAGGGGGGUGGAAUUCCACGUGUAGCAGUGAAAUGCGUAGAGAUGUGGAGGAACACCGAUGGCGAAGGCAGCCCCCUGGGCCAAUACUGACGCUCAUGCACGAAAGCGUGGGGAGCAAACAGGAUUAGAUACCCCUGUAGUCCCUGUCUCUUAUAC
rnacentral:rRNA from 1 species